CAGCACCUCAAGUGGUCAGGAUGAUUAUUGGGCCUAAAGCAUCCGUAGCCGGCUCUGUAAGUUUUCGGUUAAAUCUGUACGCUCAACGUACAGGCUGCCGGGAAUACUGCAGAGCUAGGGAGUGGGAGAGGUAGACGGUACUCGGUAGGAAGGGGUAAAAUCCUUUGAACUAUUGAUGACCACCUGUGGCGAAGGCGGUCUACCAGAACACGUCCGACGGUGAGGGAUGAAAGCUGGGGGAGCAAACCGGAUUAGAUACCCGAGUAGUCC
rnacentral:rRNA from 1 species